rnacentral:tRNA from 1 species
UCUUAGGUGACUGAGUUAGUAAGUGUUAGAUUUUUAAUCUAAAAACAGCAGGUUUUGCUUCUAAGAG